UACGGAGGGUGCGAGCGUUGUCCGGAAUCACUGGGCGUAAAGGGCGCGUAGGUGGCGCGGAAAGUCAACGGUGAAAGUUCGGGGCUCAACCCUGAAUCGGCCGUCGAUACUGCUGCGCUUGAGCACUGUAGAGGCAGAUGGAAUUCCGGGGUGUAGCGGUGGAAUGCGUAGAGAUCCGGAAGAACACCGGUGGCGAAGGCGGUCUGCUGGGCAGUAGCUGACAUGAGGCGCGACACGUGGGGGAGCAAACAGG
rnacentral:rRNA from 1 species